AUUGAACGCUGGCGGCAGGCCUAACACAUGCAAGUCGAGCGGAUGAAGGGAGCUUGCUCCUGGAUUCAGCUGCGGACGGGUGAGUAAUGCCUAGGAAUCUGCCUGGUAGUGGGGGAUAACGUCCGGACACGGGCGCUAAUACCGCAUACGUCCUGAGGGAGAAAGUGGGGGAUCUUCGGACCUAACGCUAUCUGAUGAGCCUAGGUCGGAUUAGCUAGUUGGUGGGGUAAAGGCCUACCAAGGCGACGAUCCGUAACUGGUCUGAGAGGAUGAUCAGUCACACUGGAACUGAGACACGGUCCAGACUCCUACGGGAGGCAGCAGUGGGGAAUAUUGGACAAUGGGCGAAAGCCUGAUCCAGCCAUGCCGCGUGUGUGAAGAAGGUCUUCGGAUUGUAAAGCACUUUAAGUUGGGAGGAAGGGCAGUAAGUUAAUACCUUGCUGUUUUGACGUUACCAACAGAAUAAGCACCGGCUAACUUCGUG
rnacentral:rRNA from 1 species